GAUGAACGCUAGCGGCAGGCUUAACACAUGCAAGUCGUGGGGCAGCGAGGGUAGCAAUAUCUGUCGGCGACCGGCGCACGGGCGAGUAACGCGUAUGCAACCUUCCUUUAACUGGGGCAUAGCUCGUCGAAAGACGGAUUAAUACCCCAUAACAAUAUGAAAAGGCAUCUUUUUAUAUUUAAAGCUCCGGCGGUUAAAGAUGGGCAUGCGUGUCAUUAGCUAGUUGGUGAGGUAACGGCUCACCAAGGCAACGAUGACUAGGGGGUCUGAGAGGAUGAUCCCCCACACUGGUACUGAGACACGGACCAGACUCCUACGGGAGGCAGCAGUGAGGAAUAUUGGUCAAUGGGCGCAAGCCUGAACCAGCCAUGCCGCGUGAAGGAUGAAGGCGCUAUGCGUUGUAAACUUCUUUUGUACGGGACGAAACUACGUUACGUGUAAUGUACUGACGGUACCGUGCGAAUAAGCAACGGCUAACUCCGUGCCAGCAGCCGCGGUAA
rnacentral:rRNA from 1 species